CAACACUGUACUGAUUGUUGUGAUCGGUCGGCACGUCGACACAAGCGAAGCCAUUUUGAGUCUUGUUCUUUGGGACGAAGUGCUUUCUUUUAUUUAUAAUUAUUCCUGUAUUUCGACUGCCGGAUCAUUCCCGAUAUUGCUGAUAGAAACGACUCCAACUUGUUCCAAUCUGCUGCUCCUCGAAUGUCGUCGAUCUGGCCGAAUACGGCAAAUGUCCACGGGCCGGAUCUGCUAUCUAGCAGCUGUUGGUGACAACGAAAUUCGGACAGAAAAGAUCACCGCCUGCGUCGCACCGGCGGCAAAUUUGAUCUCCAAGGGCGUUUCCGCAGUCAUUAAUGGAUCCGCAGCAACUUGUACAUUGGACAAUCGCUGACUCGGAGGAAGUUCGGUCAAAUUUCUCUGGAAAAGGAAACCAAAAUGCUCUCUAAAUCGAAAUCCCAAGUCCCAACCCUCGUCGCCCUGGAGGCCCAUACCGUCAGCGAAGGUCCAUUGCCUAACUAACCGCCAUUGCCAAAACCUGAGUCCGUUGGAAUGGUUCAAUUUGAUGUCCACCAAGCGUGCCUUGGCAGCUGAUACGUUGAUGAGAGUAUGGUGCAUGGUGGUCGAGCAUAAACUCUGCGGAAGUCGACGUCCUUUAUAGGUGAAUCCAUGGCGCAGGAUGGCAAUGCAGACGUCUUCGAGUCAAUGUUGCAUUCGCUCUGUCGCUGUCGGAAAACUGCUAUUUAGCUCGACGAUGCGACGAUAGCCGAUGCGGUGAACACGCAUGCAUUCAGUUCGGGCUCUUCCCGGUCGGUUCCAGGUCUUCCUUGGGCGUAGAGUAUGUCCGUGUCUGUGCCUGUCAUAAAUUUAUAAAUAGAGAUCAGUCAAUUUUGAAGUGCCCAUAGUCCACAAGAUAAUGUGCAGGCUAUGUCCUAGUUGGGACGUAACGUCAGAAGACAGAUGAAAAUAAUAAAAUAAACACUGGCACAAACAGUUCAUUCAUUCAUUAAAUAUGGUUUUCUCUUCUAUGACUGAUUACAUUAUGUUUUUAUUCUUUUUCGUUUUAAAUUUAGUGUAUCUCUUAUAUUUUCUUCAUCAAUAUGAAAUUGAGCGAAAAAGGAUGAAAAUGUAAUUUAAUCUGCCAUUGGAGAGCAUUUCAAAUCGAUUUCAUUUUACAUCGCUUCAAUUACAUCAUAUACGUUCACGUCGAAUUUAUUACAUCGCACAAAUUACAUCGGAUCUAUUUAUUACAUUGAAAGCCGUCGAGUACAUCGGGCUGUGUAAUAUUAAUCAAUCGAUGUAACGACCUGGUUGCAGCGAUUUCGAUGUAAUAUUCAACAACUUUUUUUGCU